UGCAUACGCACUCUGUGUCACAUUGAAAAUCGACCAAAUGUGAUGACAAUUUGUAAGUCUGCUAUACAAAUUUGGCGCUGUUAUUUAUCCAUGCAACAAUUUUUUAAAUAAUUGCUGCAUUGAUUUAAGCUCCACAUUCG